rnacentral:rRNA from 1 species
AUACGUAGGGGGCGAGCGUUGUCCGGAAUGAUUGGGCGUAAAGGGCGCGUAGGCGGCUUUGCAAGUCAGUAGUGGAAGUCCAUUUUUCAAGGAUGGAAGUGCUACAGAAACUGCGGAGCUUGAGUGCAGGAGAGGUUAUCGGAAUUCCCGGUGUAGCGGUGAAAUGCGUAGAGAUCGGGAGGAACACCAGUGGCGAAGGCGGGUAACUGGACUGCAACUGACGCUGAGGCGCGAAAGUGUGGGGAGCAAACAGGAUUAGAUACCCUGGUAGUCUACACUGUAAACGAUGAAUGCUAGGUGUAGGAGGUAUCGACCCCUUCUGUGCCGCAGUAAACACAGUAAGCAUUCCGCCUGGGGAGUACGGUCGCAAGAUUAAAACUCAAAUGAAUUGACGGGG